CUCAAGUGAUUGGCCAGGUGAAAGGAAAGAUUCCACUUUAUAGCUUUCAUACAUCCAGACCAGUGGACCAUUCAAGAAGGAGUGGAAGGUAGGGAUGAAAUAAGGAAGGAAGGAUGGAGGGAAGGAAGGAUACAUUUAUCUGUUGGAACAUGGUCACAGUCUCGGGGCGUACGAGCGACAGUGGGCGCGCGCACAAAUACACACAUCCCAGACAACACGGACUAAACUUUCCUCCCCUUCUCGUCAGUCUGUGCGUGCCUCGCCAAGUCGUGAGAGCGCAAGAAGAACUCCCCGCUCUCUAGCACGCGUUUUAAUUCCGCUACCAAGGUGCAUCAUGGGAAACAAGAUCAGCAGGAGACGGGACACCGCACCAGCUGAGCAGGAGGCUGCAGAGGAGGCAAUCGACACGCAGGAAGCUGUGGUGGAGGCAGUACCUGAUGAGCCAGUGGUGGUUGCAGAGGCGACUGAACCAGUAGUAGAAUCAGUGCCAGCACCGGUACAGGAGGCUGAGCCAGAGCCCCCCAAGCAGCCAGAGACGGAGCCCCCAUUGGAGAAGCCGGUGAGCGCCCCACUGGUAGACCUUGCACCAGCGCCGACCCCAGCACCGCCUGAACCCGAGCCCCUGGUGUCAGUCAGCAAACCGGUGUCAGUCAGCAAACCGCCAGUCGUGCCAGUCGGCCCAGAGCCAGUCGUGCCAGUCGGCCCAGAGCCAGUCGUGCCAGUCGGCCCAGAGCCAGUCGUGCCAGUCGGCCCAGAGCCAGUCGUGCCAGUCGUCCCAGAGCCAAAGCCAGUCGUCCCAGAGCCAAAGCCAGUCGUCCCAGAGCCAAAGCCAGUCGUCAUAGAACAUGAGGCUAUCCCAGAGCCCUUCCUCUGCCCCGCCCAUCUUCUGGACCUGGGUGUCCCUGAGCUGACCCCUGAGCCCCUCGAUGCUCCCCCCUCUCACAGAUCUGCCCCAGACCAGCCCACAGACCUGGGGGAUGCAGAAUGCUAUGACGACAACGUAAAGGCUGCCUGGAAUUCUGUCUCCGUCCCGGAAGAGUCCAAAGAAUCCCCGGAGAAGCCAGCGACCAUGGCAGAGCAGCUUCUGUGUGAUGUCAGGGGCAGUGAGCUGAGCAAAGCAGACUCUUCAAGCACUUAGACCUGACGGCCGACGACAUCAUGGUCAAUGACGUCAAUACAGACGACAUUCCGGAAGGUGACAUGUCCACUGAGCUGAUAUGAGAUGGGCGGAGAAAAUGUAUUUAAAAAAAAUAAAUAAAAAAAAUAAACAGAACAAUGACGUUCUGAAAAAGGCAGACGCAGCAGAAAAAAAAUGCAUUAAAAAAAUAAUACAACUUUGAUCUGAGAAGGCUAAAGGGAAAACUAAGCAGCUUAAGGAGACUGUGAAGUAGCACUCAGAUAAUCUGAGACCUGGGAUAUAUUCACUAGUAACCAAACAGAACCAAGCGUACGCAAACGGAAUGAAACUGGGUGGGACUUACCUGAAAUUGUCCAAUAGAUAUUCUAGUUUCCGUUGCCGAACCAUUUUGGAAUAAUGAUUAGACCCCAGGUAAUACAGACGUGCCUUUUCUUUCUGAGUGUAUGUUGACUAAAGGGAUGUGGUGAUGGGUGGCCAGGGCAGGAGAGUGAGUACCAAUCAUCGCCCUCUGAGCCAUAUAGACAUAACACUGCAUAGCAGAACACUUACAGUAACUAUAUAUGGUAACUAUGUAUGACAAUACGUUUGCCUUGGUGUGUACACCUGAUGAAUUGUAACAACAUUUGAAAUCGGCCUACAUGCUAUGAUGUACAUUCAUGCUUGGACUCUCACAAUCCUUCCUCUUUAACUCUGAAACGGAAGUGACCUUAUAUUUUCUUGAUGGUGAGAAGUGGUUUGGAGGAAUGUAUUAAAGGUGAUGGUCUGGUUGUGAAAAUAAAAUAUUGUUCCACCUUGAAGAUGAUUCUUUGUUUUCAAUCUUUAAAGAGACUGAGGGCUGCAAGUGCAAUGUUUCCAAGACUGACAUUUUAUAUUAAGGCUGUUUUCAGAGGUUUAUGUGCUGCCACUAAUGCUGCAGAGAUAUGGC
rnacentral:lncRNA from 1 species